rnacentral:rRNA from 1 species
AGGGUUUGAUCAUGGCUCAGGAUGAACGCUGGCGGCGUGCUUAACACAUGCAAGUCGAACGAACCUUCGGGUUAGUGGCGGACGGGUGAGUAACGCGUGAGAAUCUGCCCUCAGGAGGGGGAUAACGGUUGGAAACGACCGCUAAUACCCCAUAUGCCUACUGGUGAAAUGAAUUUCGCCUGAGGAUGAGCUCGCGUCUGAUUAGCUAGUUGGUGAGGUAAUGGCUCACCAAGGCUUCGAUCAGUAGCUGGUCUGAGAGGAUGAUCAGCCACACUGGGACUGAGACACGGCCCAGACUCCUACGGGAGGCAGCAGUGGGGAAUUUUCCGCAAUGGGCGAAAGCCUGACGGAGCAACGCCGCGUGAGGGACGAAGGCCUCUGGGCUGUAAACCUCUUUUCUCAAGGAAGAAGAUAUGACGGUACUUGAGGAAUAAGCCACGGCUAAUUCCGUGCCAGCAGCCGCGGUAAUACGGGAGUGGCAAGCGUUAUCCGGAAUUAUUGGGCGUAAAGCGUCCGCAGGCGGCUUUUCAAGUCUGCUGUUAAAGCGUGGAGCUUAACUCCAUCAUGGCAGUGGAAACUGAAAGGCUUGAGUAUGGUAGGGGCAGAGGGAAUUCCCGGUGUAGCGGUGAAAUGCGUAGAUAUCGGGAAGAACACCAGUGGCGAAGGCGCUCUGCUGGGCCAUUACUGACGCUCAUGGACGAAAGCCAGGGGAGCGAAAGGGAUUAGAUACCCCCUGUAGUCCUGGCCGUAAACGAUGAACACUAGGUGUCGGGGGAAUCGACCCCUUCGGUGUCGUAGCUAACGCGUUAAGUGUUCCGCCUGGGGAGUACGCACGCAAGUGUGAAACUCAAAGGAAUUGACGGGGGCCCGCACAAGCGGUGGAGUAUGUGGUUUAAUUCGAUGCAACGCGAAGAACCUUACCAGGGUUUGACAUCCUGCGAACCUCUUAGAAAUUUGAGGGUGCCUUCGGGAAUGCAGUGACAGGUGGUGCAUGGCUGUCGUCAGCUCGUGUCGUGAGAUGUUGGGUUAAGUCCCGCAACGAGCGCAACCCACGUUUUUAGUUGCCAGCAUUUAGUUGGGCACUCUAGAAAGACCGCCGGUGAUAAACCGGAGGAAGGUGUGGAUGACGUCAAGUCAUCAUGCCCCUUACACCCUGGGCUACACACGUACUACAAUGCUACGGACAAAGGGCAGCAAACUCGCGAGAGCUAGCAAAUCCCAUAAACCGUGGCUCAGUUCAGAUCGUAGGCUGCAACUCGCCUACGUGAAGUAGGAAUCGCUAGUAAUCGCAGGUCAGCAUACUGCGGUGAAUACGUUCCCGGGCCUUGUACACACCGCCCGUCACACCAUGGAAGUUGGCCACGCCCGAAGUCGUUACUCCAACCCUUGUGGAGGAGGACGCCGAAGGUGGGGCUAAUGACUGGGGUGAAGUCGUAACAAGGUAGCCGUA